rnacentral:rRNA from 1 species
UACGUAGGGGCGAGCGUUGUCCGGAAUUACUGGGCGUAAAGGGCGCGUAGGCGGCCUGUUAAGUCUUGUGUGAAAACCCCAUUUUCAAGGUGGGAGGGGCACAGGAAACUGGCAGGCUUGAGUGCAGGAGAGGGAAGUGGAAUUCCAAGUGUAGCGGUGAAAUGCGUAGAGAUUUGGAGGAACACCAGUGGCGAAGGCGACUUUCUGGACUGCAACUGACGCUGAGGCGCGAAAGCGUGGGGAGCAAACAGGAUUAGAUACCCCGGUAGUCCCUGAG